rnacentral:tRNA from 1 species
GGGGGUGUGGCUCAGUGGUAAAGCGCAGGCCUAGCAUGUGCAAGGACCUGGGUUCAAUUCCUAGCACCAUCA